GCCGAAGUGGCGGAAUCGGUAGACGCAGCGGAUUCAAAAUCCGCCGCCCUUAAAAGCGUGUGGGUUCGAGUCCCACCUUCGGCACCA
rnacentral:tRNA from 45 species